rnacentral:tRNA from 1 species
GGUGGCAGAGUGGUUAAGCAUUUGGCUGUUAACCAAAAGGUCGGCAGUUCAAAUCCACCAGCCA